rfam:Anas platyrhynchos breed Pekin duck contig23331, whole genome shotgun sequence.
CCAAAGGCUCUUUUAAGAGCCACUCCAUGCUCAAAAAAGGCUGUUAU